GGCGCGGUGCCAGAGUGGUUAAUGGGUGAGACUUGAACUCUUUGAAUUACGUUCAAUAGCAUAUCUCAUGACUUCGGUCGCGCAGGUUCGAACCCUGCCCGCGUCG